rnacentral:rRNA from 1 species
GACUAACGCUGGCGGCGUGCCUAAUACAUGCAAGUCGAACGGACAGUCGCAAGGCUGUUAGUGGCGAACGGGUGAGUAACGCGUUGGUACCUGCCCCAAAGCGGGGGAUAACGGACCGAAAGGUCCGCUAAUACCCCAUGAGCUCCGCGAGGAGUAAAGUCGAAAGACACUAUGGGAGGGGCCUGCGUCCCAUCAGCUAGUUGGUAGGGUAACGGCUUACCAAGGCGAUGACGGGUAGGGGACCUGAGAGGGUGGCCCCCCACAAUGGAACUGAAACACGGUCCAUACACCUACGGGUGGCAGCAGUAGGGAAUAUUGGUAAUGGGCGAAAGCCUGAACCAGCAACGCCGCGUGUGCGAUGACGGCCUUCGGGUUGUAAAGCACUUUUGACUGUGACGAGGAAGGACGGUAACAGUCGAAUAAGCCUCGGCUAACUACGUGCCAGCCGCCGCAGUAACAC